ACAAACAUUUUGCUCAUAAGUUUAUUUAUUUAAAUACGAGAAUCGAGAUUUCAAAGCUCCAAAUGGCUUUAAGCGGUCAAGUGGACUUUAAAAAAAGUUGUACCCAUAGCCAACGGCAUUCUACUUGUCCUGUGUUUCAGUUUGGUUCCAAAACUAUCGAAAUAUCUCGCAACGCACUGCCUUCGUUGAGUCAGCUGGAAGAGCUAGUAAGCUUUUUGGAAAGCAAACCAUGUUUGAUUAUGAUGGGCCAUGCUCGUACUGCGAAUGCGAGCAUGCAUGCAUGAUUCGAAAACAACAGCCCUAAACAGUGAAGUAGUGGGUGUAUGAAAAUAUUGGAGCAGUGGUGUGAGUACUGGAAGGACAAAAAGGAGCAGUUCAGAGGAAGUCCAGUUCUAUUGCAGCUGCGAGCCAACAUGAAGAAUUUGCCAGAACUCGGUGUAAUCAAGUUUAAAAUACAUUCUAUUAUGCAAGGAGAAUGUUUUGGAAUCUGAAUUUAGAAAUAAAUGCAUAUUCAUUAUAAAAUACAAAAUAAUAAAAAGACAUGAUGGAUUAAAA